rnacentral:rRNA from 1 species
GACGAACGCUGGCGGCGUGCUUAACACAUGCAAGUCGAACGGAAAGGCCCUGCUUUUGUGGGGUGCUCGAGUGGCGAACGGGUGAGUAACACGUGAGUAACCUGCCCUUGACUUUGGGAUAACUUCAGGAAACUGGGGCUAAUACCGGAUAGGAGCUCCUGCUGCAUGGUGGGGGUUGGAAAGUUUCGGCGGUUGGGGAUGGACUCGCGGCUUAUCAGCUUGUUGGUGGGGUAGUGGCUUACCAAGGCUUUGACGGGUAGCCGGCCUGAGAGGGUGACCGGCCACAUUGGGACUGGGAUAGGGCCAAGACGCCUCAGGGAGGAAGCGGUGGGGAAUAUUGCCAAAUGGGCGGAAGCCUGAUGAAGAAACGCCGGGUGGGGGAGGACGGCUUUCGGGUUGUAAACGGUUUUCGCUUGUGACGAAGCGUGGGUGCGGGUAAUGGGUAAAGAAGAACGGGCUAAUUAGGU